rnacentral:rRNA from 1 species
GCUAGGAUGAACGCUGGCGGCGUGCCUACCACAUGCAAGUCGAACGAAGCAUACGGACCGGAGAUUCGUCGAAGGACUGUAUGACUUAGUGGCGGACGGGUGAGUAAUGUAUGAGCAACCUGCCUUUCAGAGGGGGACAACAGUUGGAAACGACUGCUAAUACCGCGUAACGUAUCGUGGGGGCAUCCUCGUGAUACCAAAGGAGCAAUCCGCUGAAAGAUGGGCUCAUAUCUGAUUAGCUUGUUGGCGGGGUAACGGCCCACCAAGGCGACGAUCAGUAGCCGGACUGAGAGGUUGAACGGCCACAUUGGGACUGAGAUACGGCCCAGACUCCUACGGGAGGCAGCAGUGGGGAAUAUUGGGCAAUGGGCGAAAGCCUGACCCAAGCAACGCCGCGUGAAGGAAGAAGGUCUUCGGAUUGUAAACUUCUUUUAUGAGGGACGAAGGACGUGACGGUACCUCAUGAAUAAGCCACGGCUAACUACGUGCCAGCAGCAGC